AGCUCCAAUAGCGUAUAUUAAUGUUGUUGCAGUUAAAAAGCUCGUAGUUGGAUUUCUGUUUUCAAUUACCGGUCCGCUCAUGUAUUUGAGUGUGUACUUGUGUUAUUGAAUUCAUUUUUGUGAGGAUCCUUAUCUGGCAUUAAGUUGCCGGGUUUGUGUACUUGCAUCUUUUACUGUGAAAAAAUUAGAGUGUUUAAAGCAGGCGUUCGCUUAUUUGAAUACAUUAGCAUGGAAUAAUAAGAUAUGACUUGUGUGGUCUAUUUUGUUGGUUUGCACACGCGAGUAAUGAUUAAGAGGGACAGUUGGGGGUAUUCAUAUUUCAGCGUCAGAGGUGAAAUUCUUGGAUCGCUGAAAGAUGAGCUUAGGCGAAAGCAUUUACCAUGGAUGUUUUCAUUAAUCA
rnacentral:rRNA from 1 species